rnacentral:rRNA from 1 species
GACGAACGCUGGCGGCGUGCUUAACACAUGCGAGUCGAACGGAAAGGCCCUGCUUUUGUGGGGUGCUCGAGUGGCGAACGGGUGAGUAACACGUGAGUAACCUGCCCUUGACUUUGGGAUAACUUCAGGAAACUGGGGCUAAUACCGGAUAGGAGCUCCUGCUGCAUGGUGGGGGUUGGAAAGUUUCGGCGGUUGGGGAUGGACUCGCGGCUUAUCAGCUUGUUGGUGGGGUAGUGGCUUACCAAGGCUUUGACGGGUAGCCGGCCUGAGAGGGUGACCGGCCACAUUGGGACUGAGAUACGGCCCAGACUCCUACGGGAGGCAGCAGUGGGGAAUAUUGCACAAUGGGCGGAAGCCUGAUGCAGCAACGCCGCGUGCGGGAUGGCGGCCUUCGGGUUGUAAACCGCUUUCGCCUGUGACGAAGCGUGAGUGACGGUAAUGGGUAAAGAAGCACCGGCUAACUACGUG